AUGAACGCUGGCGGCGUGCCUAAUACAUGCAAGUCGAGCGAACAGACGAGGAGCUUGCUCCUCUGACGUUAGCGGCGGACGGGUGAGUAACACGUGAAUAACCUACCUAUAAGACUGGGAUAACUUCGGGAAACCGGAGCUAAUACCGGAUAAUAUAUUGAACCGCAUGGUUCAAUAGUGAAAGACGGUUUUGCUGUCACUUAUAGAUGGAUCCGCGCCGCAUUAGCUAGUUGGUAAGGUAACGGCUUACCAAGGCGACGAUGCGUAGCCGACCUGAGAGGGUGAUCGGCCACACUGGAACUGAGACACGGUCCAGACUCCUACGGGAGGCAGCAGUAGGGAAUCUUCCGCAAUGGGCGAAAGCCUGACGGAGCAACGCCGCGUGAGUGAUGAAGGUCUUCGGAUCGUAAAACUCUGUUAUUAGGGAAGAACAAAUGUGUAAGUAACUAUGCACGUCUUGACGGUACCUAAUCAGAAAGCCACGGCUAACUACGUG
rnacentral:rRNA from 1 species